CUCCUAUUUAUUUGUAUUGUAGUCCUGUAAUAUUAUGUUGUCAUUUUAAUGUUAUAUUUAACAUUGCCAUUAAAGUGCGAGGUUUGGCAUGCCACAAAACCAGGUUCAACCCACCAUUUUUUUCUUUAAAAAUGUCCUGUACCAAGUCAGGAAAAUGGCCAUUGUUAUAUCAUAAUUCGUUUCUGUGUGUGUAACAUUUUUACGUUGUGU
rnacentral:lncRNA from 1 species